rnacentral:tRNA from 1 species
GUGCGUGUAGAUUGAUGUUUAAAGAUUGUAAGGCUGUUAACCUUAAGGAGGUAUUUUUACCCGCGGACG